AUAAUAUAUUUUUCUUUAUCAAGGGUAGCUAUGUAAUAACAAUCCUGACACAUAAGAAAGUGACUUCUCAAAUAAUAUUAUAAAGAUUUGUAAUAAAUUAAAUUAAAUUCUUUCAUCUGUUGAGAUAUAUUAAAACUAUUAGUAGAUUGUCCACUUUGAGUUUAAAAGGCAAAUUCCGCAUAUAUUUAUUUUUGGUUUUCUUUCCAAAAAGCUUUAUACUAAUUAGAGUUAGAUUUCUUUUUAUAUAUUAGACUUUCUUUUGUUUAACUUUUGAUGUGAGACUUAAAUUGAAAUCUUUCAUUAGCGAUAAAAUUAUCUAUCUUAAGGAUGGAAAUACCAUAUGAGUUUCAGCAGCUAAGCUGAGGGUGGAUGAUUGUUUUUAGGAAGUAGUGUCCAAUUACAAACAAUAUUUUAUCUCUUGGUUAGCAUUUUCUCGUCUAUUUUACCUAUUUUAAGUUUAAGAAUUGUCUCUAAUUACCUAAAUCAUAGAUGUGUAUUUCAAUUCUUGUGGUUAAACUUUAUUGUAGGAUGAAAAGUAAAAGACUAAACUAACAAUCGUGUCAUUAUAAAUAGAAAUUCAUCUUAGGCUCAGUUCCUCGUACAAUACACAUAAUAUACCUUCAAACUAAAAAAAAAAGAAAGGAGAAAAAGUAAAAAAGUAAAAUAUAGCAUGGCUACUUCCAUCAUCACCUUCCUCUUCGUUGUUCUUAUUAUCUUUUCUGCUUUUGAAGCACCAACGAUUGUGGAAGGGCAGAAGUCAUG